AAAAUUGUAAUCUUCUGAUUGAACAAUGAAGGUACUUAGUUCUUACUUUAUGGUGAAGCUCGAACUUUAAGCUAAGUCUAUUUUUGGAUCUUAUUACAAAAAGGUGUUAAGUAACUAUAAAAGGUAAAUGAAUCACAAAAAGGUUAAAUAACUAACAAAAGGUGAACUUAACAAAGAAGUGUUAAGUAACUCAAAAGAUAUAAUCUAAUCAAAGAAGAUGAGAACUAAAGAAUGGGCAGUCCUGGAGGAAAGCCUCUGAUGUAAUUGGUAGAUGUGAAAAUUUAGAGGAGGGGACACAAGAGUAAAAGGUCUAUAUAUCUCAUAUCACUUGCUCUCUCUAGGACCUUUGGUGGCAGAGAGGUGGCUGGUGGCAGCAUGCUGUGCCUUUCAGCAUCUUGGCAUGGCUACAGCUAUUGUCUGGUUUUGGUGGUCUCCCACUUCUGACUUGAAGACUGCCAAGAGUACAAGACCAUUAGAAAUCAGUAGAAGACAAUAGAAGUGAAAAGAACUCUGAGUUCAAAGACAAGAGACUUGGGUUGUAUGAGGGCAAUGAGACCUGUGGUUUUCUUCUUCUAAGGAGUUAAUAUGGCUAAAGUUGCCUUUAGGAAGCAUGUACAAGUUUGGAGAGCUCAUGCAUCUGGACUGGUGCUCCUUAAUUGGUUAUCAUGCUGUAGCUGCAUAGUUGAUAAUAGUGGAGAAGGGAGAAGGAGAGAGCCAGAUGUGACUUGUAUUUGACCUAUUUCAGCUGGAUAUAUAAUGCUCUACUGAAACAUCCAGAGGCAGGACUAACUACCCCAAAAUAAAACCCUGGAAAGGAUGCUAUCA
rnacentral:lncRNA from 1 species